UACGAAGGGGGCUAGCGUUGUUCGGAAUUAUUGGGCGUAAAGAGCUCGUAGGCGGCCUGUUGCGUCCGCUGUGAAAGCCCGGGGCUUAACCCCGGGUCUGCAGUGGAUACGGGCAGGCUAGAGGGAGGUAGGGGCGUGCGGAACUUCCGGUGGAGCGGUGAAAUGCGUAGAUAUCGGAAGGAACACCGGUGGCGAAAGCGGCGCGCUGGACCUCUUCUGACGCUGAGGCGCGAAAGCCAGGGGAGCGAACGGG
rnacentral:rRNA from 1 species